rnacentral:tRNA from 1 species
GAGGGUACAGCUCAAGUGGUAGAGUGCAUGCUUAGCAUUCACAAGGUCCUGGGUUCAAUCCCCAGUACCUCCU